rnacentral:rRNA from 1 species
UGGGGAAUCUUGCACAAUGCGCGAAAGCGUGAUGCAGCAACGCCGCGUGCGGGAAGACGGCCUUCGGGUUGUAAACCGCUUUCAGUUGGGACGAAGCUUCGCCGGUGAAUAGCCGGCUGGAGUGACGGUACCUUCAGAAGAAGCCCCGGCUAACUACGUGCCAGCAGCCGCGGUAAUACGUAGGGGGCAAGCGUUGUCCGGAAUCAUUGGGCGUAAAGCGCGUGUAGGCGGCUAGGUAAGUCUGCUCUGAAAGCCCGGGGCUCAACCCCGGGAGGCGGGUGGAUACUGUCAAGCUCGAGUCCGGAAGAGGAGUGUGGAAUUCCUGGUGUAGCGGUGAAAUGCGCAGAUAUCAGGAGGAACACCAAUGGCGAAGGCAGCACUCUGGGACGUGACUGACGCUGAGACGCGAAAGCGUGGGGAGCAAACA